CAACCCUCAAGACCCCUUCGGGGGACUUGGUGUUGGGGACCGGCACAGGGCCUGCUUGCUUGUCUCGCAGCGCCUCGCCGCCUCCGAAAUGAAUUGGCGGCCUCGUCGCGGCCUCCUCUGCGUAGUAGCACAACCUCGCAACGGGAGCGUGACGCGGCCACUGCCGUAAAACAACCCAAUUUUAUUAG
rnacentral:misc_RNA from 1 species